rnacentral:rRNA from 1 species
UGAGUACGAGAUGCUACGGCAUCGAAGCAGUCUAUGUCAUACUUCCAAGAAAAGCUUGCACUGUCAUAAACAAAGAAUGCCUGUACCAUAACCGACACAGGUGGGUAGGUAGAGUAUACUAAGGGGCGCGAGAUAACUCUCUCUAAGGAACUCGGCAAAAUGACUCCGUAACUUCGGGAGAAGGAGUGCCUUAUUUCUAAGGUUGCAAUAACAAGAUCCAAGCAACUGUUUACCAAAAACACAGGUCUCCGCUAAGUCGUAAGACGAUGUAUGGGGGCUGACGCCUGCCCAGUGCCAGAAGGUUAAAGAAGUUGGUUAGCAUUAGCGAAGCUGAUAACUGAAGCCCUGGUGAACGGCGGCCGUAACAAUAACGGUCCUAAGGUAGCGAAAUUCCUUGUCGGGUAAGCUCCGACCCGCACGAAAGGCGUAAUGAUUUGGAUACUGUCUCGGAGAGGGGCUCGGUGAAAUAGACUUGUCUGUGAAGAUGCGGACUACCUGCACCUGGACAGAAAGACCCUAUGAAGCUUUACUGUAACUUGAGAUUGAAAUUGGACUUUAUUUGCGCAGUAUAGGUGGGAGGCGUUGAGAAUAAUCUUGCGGGAUUGUUGGAGCCAUCAGUGAGAUACCACUCUUGUAAUGUUAGAUUUCUAACUUUGUAUCAUUAUCUGGUCAAAGAACAGUUUUCAGGCGGGCAGUUUGACUGGGGCGGUCGCCUCCCAAAGGGUAACGGAGGCGCACAAAGGUUUCCUCUGAACGGGUAGAAAUCGUAUCUAGAGUGUAAAGGCAUAAGGAAGCUUGACUGUGAGACCUACAAGUCGAGCAGGGACGAAAGUCGGUCUUAGUGAUCUGACGGUGCUGAGUGGAAAGGCCGUCACUCAACGGAUAAAAGUUACUCUAAGGAUAACAGGCUGAUCUCCCCCAAGAGUUCACAUCGACGGAGAGGUUUGGCACCUCGAUGUCGGCUCAUCGCAUCCUGGGGCGGUAGUCCGUCCCAAGGGUUGGGCUGUUCGCCCAUGAAAGCGGUACGCGAGCUGGGUUCAGAACGUCGUGAGACAGUUCGGUCCAUAUCCGGUGUAGGCGUUAGAAUAUUGAGAGGAGCCUUCUCUAGUACGAGAGGACCGAGAAGGACAUACCUCUGGUGUACCAGUUAUCGUGCCAACGGUAAACGCUGGGUAGCUAUGUAUGGAGUGGAUAACCGCUGAAAGCAUCUAAGUGGGAAGCCCACCUCAAGAUAAGUAUUC